ACACACACACACACACACACACACACACACACACACACACACACACACACACACACACACACACACACACACACACACACACACACACACACGGACACACGGACACACACGCACUCACAAAAACACACAGCCACUGUAAUUCUGACAAGCCAAACAAAGACUAUGAAAAUCGCAGUGGAUAUCCAUCCAGAGAAUGUUUUUACAUUUUUUACUGCAAAUAUGUGUUGACAGCAUCAUCCACAUUCAUCUGGGACUCUGUACAUAUCUAGAAGAACAUAACUCCAGGAGGAGAAGAGAGGACAGGAGGAAGAGAGGACGGGAGGAAGAGAGGACGGGAGGAAGAGAGGACGGGAGGAAGAGAGGACGGGAGGGAGCUUCACUUCUAUUUGAUAGUGUGUUAUGCUUCAGACCAUGCCUGCUUCUCAUUUUUUGGGUUUCUAAUAGAGAAAAAGAUAGGCUGCAUGGUUACCACUGAGCUCCUGCAGAGUCUCAUUCUGGCAGCUCCACAGCAGGCGAGAGGAUGUCCUCUUCAGGCUGCCUGUCGACCGCCCUCCCAAGGGUGCCAUUGAGGUUCUGGAGCUGUCACUCCCACGUUCCAGCAUCGCUCCUCUGCCUGCCACUACAAUGUCUGUCCGCCCGCCAAAAGAAAAGAAAGGAAGAAGAGAUGAAAAUGAAGCAGAAUGAAUUAUCUGCUUCACCUUGGUGGUGAAGAUGUGAGUGGGUGCCAAUGGUUAGCAGCGACAAUGCCAGCACUGCUCAGCUCCUAUCACCUGAUAAUUGAAAUCCAA
rnacentral:lncRNA from 1 species